GGAAAGGAAGUGCAGUGGAAGGGCUGGUUAAUGAAGAUACUCUCAAACCAUUACUAAGGGAGACCUAAGGCUGGCAGAACUGACAUUGAAUUCCCAUUACAUGCCUCCUUCUGUAACCAAACAUCCCAAGGAAGGAUCCUGCAAGGCCAUUGGCUUUGGCCCAUUUGAACUCUUCACCUCCUGUUCCAAGAACCAGCCAGACAAAGUACAAAUCAACUAAUCCAAAUCCUUAUCUCAAGACUGAUGAUAUCUGAGCCACAUAUGCUCAGUUUACAUUGCUAAGGAAAAAAUGGCAUCUAUUUCUGACAACCAGGGAGUUCAGACAUACCAGGAGCCAAAUUAAUCUGUGGGGUGUCUGAAGUGCUAUACGAACAGGUCAAUGAGGGCACCUCUCAGGCCACAGGGCUCACUAUAAGCCAGAUGAAGCAGCUCUUUGCUGACUUGAGUGACGAGUUGGCUUGGCAUCACAAGUCUGGAGCAACGCCUGGAAUUGAUGUUGGCUUUGUUCAGACUGACUUGGAUUAGUUUCAUGAGAUUAUUACAUAGGAGUUCAUCUUCUGGGUCAUUUAACAAGUCAAAGUCUGGCAAAGAAACUUCAUCCAAGUACUCUGCAUCUGUGAAUGAAAAAUCAAAGAAGGCAGCUCAAGCUGCUGUCCAGGGAUUCACAGUCGGAGCUCUCCGCUCUGACACAGCGAUCGGGCGCUUCCUGCUGCCAGCUCUUUCCCCGGGAGAAGAUGGGUGAGGGCUGGUUCUCUCUCUGCUCUGGAAUGGGAGGCAGCGGCGAAGAGAAGCUGUCCCACACGCCUGGCAUCGCUGCUGCUGGUCACCCUCCGGAGUGGAAGUGGGGAGGCGGAGAUCAGCACAAAACACAGGUCCUGCAAUCCAAGGCCAGCACAGAAAGGGGGGAGGGUCAGUAAC